rnacentral:lncRNA from 1 species
GCAUAUAACUUGUUAGAACUGAAAUAUACUAUAAAGUAGUAUUACAGGAGUAGGGUCUUUUCUUAUUCAUACAUUUGAUUUCCUAGUGGUUGCUAAUCCUUACAAUGCUUGCAAGAUCAAUGGUGGAAUAUAUUAGAGACUACACAACUUAAAAGAUGCUCAGAGAUCCCUUGGACACCUGAAUUUUUUGGCAGCUGCUCCAGCUUUGACAUCCUGAUUCGGCACAGUUUGCUCUUUCAGAGAUGGGGCUUGUGCUACAGCUUCCUCACACCACUGCUGGCUUAGCCUUUGUUUGGCCGCCAAGUGGCAAGAUACAUUUACUCUUACUGUCAGUUACAUGAAAAAGGCACAUUGGCCUAAUUUCCCAUAGAAUUUACAUAUAAAUUGACUUGGCCUAGGGUGUAAAGUCCCUUCAAAAGGGGACACUUUUAAGAUAGGUUCUCAGUACAUCAUUGAAUUGAAAUCUAAUCUGAGAUAGUUCCACUAAACCUCUUACCACAGACUGCUUUGAACAAGUAUUUUCUGGUCAACAUGUCAGUGACAUUAUUUUUAGAAUGUUCUCUCAUUUUUUUGAGAGAACAUUUGGUUUCAAGGUCUAGCAAUUUUCAUGGUAAGUCUUCAAACCACAAAUUAGUAGCCAUGGCGGGUGUUUUGUGUCCUUGCCUUUGUACAACUGGAGGCUUUCCCUUAACCUGAUGUCAGUUGGUUAGUGGCUUUUUGGCUUUUGGUUUUUGUUGUUUUUUUACAUUUUUACUUAUCCUCAGGGUCUUCUCUUUAGUAUCCUUGCUGACAAUGACUCUACACUGAGUAAGAUAUAGAAUGGACUGCUAUAUGGGCGUGUACCUUAAUUGUCUUCAGUGUUCAGAUUCACAGUGAGAAGAGAAAGAAUUGUCCUUGACUUAAGAAAAUUUUUUCUUAUUUCAAUAAGAAAUUCUGUUGAGUAGCUUUCACCUAUGACUUGCUUUAUUUUAAUUUGCAUGGAAUUUAUUUUAUUGCCACAAAAUGUUUUGAUUUUUGCCAUUUAAUGGUCUUGAAAAGUGAUCUAUAGUCUUUUAAGAAUACAAGAAAACACAAUUGGAAAAGAACUGCCAUUUCUCUCACCUGACUUUGAAAAUAAGAUUUGGACAGUGAGCCCUGGAAAUAAGACUCAGGAGUUCAGAGCCAAUAGUGCUCCUACAGAGGAGCCUAGCUCAGUUCACAGCAGGGAGCACACAACUGCCUUUACCCCUCAGUUCCAGGUGUUCUGACACCCACUUCCAGCAAACACAGGAACUGCACUCACAUGUACAUACUGACAUCCAGACAGACACAUAUACCAGUAUUAAAAAUAACUAUUGGUUCAUUUAGGGGCAGAUUCACAGGCAAGCAGGUAACAGGCUAAGGGACAGCCUUUGCUCCGGUUGUUGAGGGACUGGUAUGAAGACCAAGUUGCUCAUCUGUUACAUAUGUGCAGGGGGCCUAGGUUCAGCCCAUGCUUACUCUUUGCUUGGUGAUUCUGUCUCUAAGAGCACCCAUGGGUCCAGGUUAGUUGACUCUAUUGUUCUUCCUCUUUACUCCCUGUCGUCUUCGAGUCCCUCAAUUCCAACUCUUCUGUUCGAUAACCAAUCUCCAUCUGAUGUUUGCGUAUGAGUCUCUGUAUCUCUUUUCAUCAGAGUGCUGAGUAGAGCUUCUCUGAGAACAGUUAUACCAGGUUACUGUCUGCAAGCGUAACAGAAUAUCAUUAAAUAGUAUCAGGGACUGAUUUUUGUCCAAGGGAUGGGUUUCAAUUUGGGGCAGCCUUUGGACCAACUCUUCUGGCUUAGUGGGAGAGGAUGUGUCUAGUGCCACAGUGACUUGGUGUGUGGGGUGGGGGGCUGUUUAUUGGGUGGUGACAUACAGACAGGAGCUUCCCUUGCGGGGAAGAGGGAGUGAAGGGAAGACUGUGAGAGGUGGUACUGGAAGGAAAGAAGGGGCUGAUAUUGGGUUGUAAAGUG